rnacentral:tRNA from 1 species
UCUAAUAUGGCAGAUUAGUGCAAUGAAUUUAAGAUUCAUAUAUAAAGAUAAAAAUCUUUUAUUAGAA